rnacentral:rRNA from 1 species
AUUGAACGCUGGCGGCAGGCCUAACACAUGCAAGUCGAACGGUAGCACAGAGAGCUUGCUCUCGGGUGACGAGUGGCGGACGGGUGAGUAAUGUCUGGGAAACUGCCCGAUGGAGGGGGAUAACUACUGGAAACGGUAGCUAAUACCGCAUAACGUCGCAAGACCAAAGUGGGGGACCUUCGGGCCUCACACCAUCGGAUGUGCCCAGAUGGGAUUAGCUAGUAGGGGGGGUAAUGGCUCACCUAGGCGACGAUCCCUAGCUGGUCUGAGAGGAUGACCAGCCACACUGGAACUGAGACACGGACCAGACUCCUACGGGAGGCAGCAGUGGGGAAUAUUGCACAAUGGGCGCAAGCCUGAUGCAGCCAUGCCGCGUGUAUGAAGAAGGCCUUCGGGUUGUAAAGUACUUUCAGCGGGGAGGAAGGCGGUGAAGUUAAUAGCUUCACCGAUUGACGUUACCCGCAGAAGAAGCACCGGCUAACUCCGUGCCAGCCGCCGCAGUAA